GACGAACGCUGGCGGCGUGCUUAACACAUGCAAGUCGAACGGAAAGGCCCUGCUUUUGUGGGGUGCUCGAGUGGCGAACGGGUGAGUAACACGUGAUUAACCUGCCCUUGACUUUGGGAUAACUUCAGGAAACUGGGGCUAAUACCGGAUAGGAGCUCCGGCUGCAUGGUGGGGGUUGGAAAGUUUCGGCGGUUGGGGAUGGACUCGCGGCUUAUCAGCUUGUUGGUGGGGUAGUGGCUUACCAAGGCUUUGACGGGUAGCCGGCCUGAGAGGGUGACCGGCCACAUUGGGACUGAGAUACGGCCCAGACUCCUACGGGAGGCAGCAGUGGGGAAUAUUGCACAAUGGGCGGAAGCCUGAUGCAGCAACGCCGCGUGCGGGAUGACGGCCUUCGGGUUGUAAACCGCUUUCGCCUGUGACGAAGCGUGAGUGACGGUAAUGGGUAAAGAAGCACCGGCUAACUACGUG
rnacentral:rRNA from 1 species